AAAGCGUGCCUUUCAGGCAUCCUCUCCUAAAAACUUUCAUAGGCCGCUCCUCGUUGAGCGGCCUUUUUUUCGUCUGCG
rnacentral:sRNA from 2 species